GUCCGGGUCCCGACGCCUUACCUUUGCCGAACUGGGGGACACCGAGGCUGAGCCCGACCAAGAGCCAGACGGCUACCGAGCGCUUCAUGAUCCCGUCUCCCGGACGUGACCCCGGCUGGUCAGGGGUCGUCGCGGAGGGCAGUGUAGCCGAGGUGGCAGCGCAGGGCAGCAGCAGACUCCGCCCCUACUAAAGAAUUCAAGAAGACGUUCUCUUUCCUCAGCGCUUUGUUAAACAAAUUCUUGGAGAGGGCGAGAGUGGUGACUAAAGAGAGGAGCCUUUCCUCCCCUUUUGCCUGCGCUCCGGCGCGCGGAGGUGGGUGAGCUCCGGGGAGCCGCCGGCGGGCUCAGCCCUCCGCUGCGGGUGGGUCCCGGCAGAGGCGCGGCGGGCGGGGCGCGGGCUCCCGCGGCCGCCCCGGGUCUGCUGCGCGGGCAGGCAGACCCACCGGCAGACAGGCGGACCGGGCGCUCGGCUGUCGCUGUUCUCCGCGCGGCGGCUGCGGGGCUUCUGACUUGGAGAACAAUGAAGCGUGAGCUGGAGGGGAGCGAGCGGGCCGCCGGGAGCGCACUGUGUACAAACAGAGGCGGCGUGCAGCCUUUGGAAGGAAUUGGGCCAUGAGAAGAGCCCUCAUGAAUGGGAUUAGUUCCCUUAUAAGAAGAGACACCAAGGAAGUGAUCUUUCUCUGCCCUCUGCUAUGUGAAGACAAGGUCAUCUGCAGUUUUUUGUUGUUGUUGAUGAUCUUCCUGUCAUAGACAAUGCUGUAACAAACAGACUAAUUGUUCACUGUUGACAUAUAGAAGUACUACUGAUUGGCCAGACAUAGUGGCUCAUGCCUGGAAUCCCAGCACUUUGGGAGGCCAAGGCAGGUGGAUCACUUGAGCCCAGAAGUUUGAGACCAGCCUGGGCAACAUGAUGAAACCCCAUCUCUACAAAAUAAAUAGAAAAAUUAGCUGGGUAUGGUGGCAUGUGCCAGUAGUCCCAGCUACAUGGGAGCCUGAGGUGGGAGGACGACUUGAGCCCAGGAGGUGGAGGUUACAGUGAGCUGAGAUCAUGCCACUGCACUCCAGCCUGGGUGACAGAGUGGGACUCUGUCUAAAAAAAAAAUUGUAUUAUCUGUAAACGGAAA
rnacentral:lncRNA from 1 species